UGCAUCUUAAAUAAUGCAAGUCAAGCUUGGAUGUGAUAGUACAUUUAGUGACUAGCGGAGUAGUAAUUAAUAGGCAAUCUACUUGUUGGAUAGGAAUAAUUACUAAAAUAGCAGCUAAUACUAAAGGAUAUUAGUUAAUUGAUAUCCUUUGAAGUUUAGUUUGUAGUUGAGUUUAUGUCUUGUUGGUUGGGGGUAGGGACAAAUCCCCCAAAACGACAAUAAGUAAUUGAUUUGAGAUUGUAAACAGUCACACUGGAACUGAGAUGAGGUCUAAACUUCCAUGGGGGGCAGCAGCUAAUAAUCUUUUACAAUAGGUGAAAGUUUGACAGAGUGAUGCUGCAUGAAUGAAUAAGGUCGAAAGAUUGUAAAAUUCUUUUAUAAGCGAGGAAUAAGCUUUGUAGGAAAUGACAAGGCGAUGAUGUUAAUUUGUGAAUAAGCCCCGGCUAAUACUUACCAGUAGUUUCGGUAAAAUGUGUAGAUGGCGGCGAGCUUUGUUUUGAAUUAUUGUGUGUAAAGGGUGAGUAGGUAGAUAUAUAGGUUUAUGCAAAAUGCCACAGCUUAAUUGUGGGGGUUAUGUUGGAAACUAUAUGCCUAGAGUCUGAUAUAGGAAGUUAGAAUUCCUUGUAUAAGUGUGGAAUCUAUUGAUAUCAGGAAGAAUGCCGGAGGCAAAGGCGAAAAUACUUCUGGGUGAAGAUUGACGCUGAGUCACAAAAGCGUAGGGGAUAAAUAGGAUUAAAUACCUCGUUAGUCUACUCUGUAAGCGAUGCAUUUUUGGUGUUAACUAAAAAUUGGUACUGAAGCUAACGUGUUAAGUGUAUCUAUUGGGGAGUAUGUUCGUAAUAGUGAAGCUCAAAGGAAUUAGCGAGGGGCGCGCACAAGCGAUAGAGUAUGUGGUUUAAUUCGAUGAUGUGCAAGGAACCUUGUCAAGGAUUAACAUAUAUAAGGUAUAGUUAGAGAUAUUUAUUCCCCGUUUGGGGUCUAUAUACAGGUGCUGUAUGGUUGUCGUCAGCUCGUGUUGUGGGGUUUUGGGUUAAGUUUUACAACGAGUACAACCCUUAUUAUCUGUUACUAGCAUGUAAUGGUGGGAACUCAGAUAAGAUUGCUGGUGGUAAAUCGGAUGAGUGUGAGGAUUGUGUUAAAUCAUUAUGGCCCCUAUUUCUUGGGCUAUAUGUAUGCUACAAUGGUUUGUAUAAAACAAAGCGCACAAAGCAAGUUUCGGUGUUCGGAUUGAAGUUUAAAACUCGAUUUUAUGAAGUUGGAAUCGCAUAGUGAUCCUAUAUUAGAAUGAUACUAUGAAUACCUUCUCAUGCCUUAUGCACACUGCCUGUCAUAAUGCCUGAGUUAAGGAUGUCCGAGAACUAUUUCAACUCGUAGGGAAAGAAGGUGUUCGGGGUAUUUUUAGUGAGAGGGGUGAAGUUUUAACAAGGUGGUCGUACUGGAAAGUGUGGCUGGAUCAUCUCCUUU
rnacentral:rRNA from 1 species